GCCCUCGUGGUGUAAUGGAUAACAUAUCUGUCUUCGGAACAGAGGAUUCCAGGUUCGAGUCCUGGCGAGGGCGCCA
rnacentral:tRNA from 1 species